rnacentral:piRNA from 1 species
UGAAGGUCAGAGAGACUACGGUCUCAUAGGGG